rnacentral:lncRNA from 1 species
AGUUUUAGGGGUUUUGAGACCUUAAGAAAAGUGGGCACUGGAGUUGAAGGGACGUCAAUGAGCAUAAUCAGUAAUAGCUUGGCACCAAAAAUUGUUGAUCGUUAUCUGUUUGAUUAAAUUCCUGAAAGAAAAGAAAAAGGAGUAUGAAAUUGAGGAAGGAGGGAUUCUAAUAAGGGAAUGCAGGAAAAGCCAAAUUUCAGCUUUCAACUUUCCAAAGGCUAUGAAGAGCUGUGAACGAAGGUAGUGGAAAAGAGGGAAAUUUUAUUUGUGAGGGUUUGGUUUUUUUGGUUGAAG